ensembl:lncRNA novel transcript
AUCCCGGCAGCCACCGCGGCGACUUGGCGGCGGGUGCCAUGCGUCUGGAGCUUCACAUUCUCUGCCCCCCACCCACCGCGCCGGCGCUCCCUUGUCACGCCUCGGGAAGCGCGCACCUGCCAAGCAGUUCUAUUUCAAUCCAGAAAGUCAGCAACUUUGAACUUUCUCUUCCGUCUGUGAAAACCUAUUGGUUUCCAAGAUUACUGAGAAAGAAGAAAGUACUGAGGAGCCUUAUGAUGAAUAAUCUGAUAUCAUGUGAAAUGAGGAAAUAAGAAGCUUUCUGCUGACUUCAUUUUGACCCAGGGUCCAAAAGGUGAUGUAAUCCUGUGGCAAGAAGAUUCAAAACUGUGGACUAUCUUGCAAAAAAUACAAGAAGAUAUUGAAAGUUUUCAUGAGUGCCUACCACCUAAUCUCAAACACUAUCAUUCAUAUGUGCCUCAUUGAGCAAAUCUUUAAUGAGGAUCUAUAUGCCAGCAAUAUCUUUUGCUUGGGAGCAGAAACAGAAAGUACAUGAUGGACUUCAUUGAAGGAUGGAGAUUUGGAAGACAUGAAUGGAUGAAGAACCAAGUGCGUGAGGGCACCUAUCAGGAUUAUUGCUGAAAUCCUUAUGGAGUUAACUGGCUGAGAGGAAGGCAAGCAAGCGAGGACUGAUGGGCCCUUGGCACUGUGAGAACAGUGGAGGAGGAGGGAGCAGGGUUCAUAAGGAGGAGCACAAACAGAAAGUUCAGUGGCCCCAAUAAAAAUAACACCAGAAUCUUCCAGAUACUUUCUCCAUAAGGCGAAAAGUAGAGAUGGGGUUUCACCAUGUUGCCCAGGCUGGUCUCAAACUCCUGAGCUCAGGCCAUCUGCCCGCCUCGGCCUCCCAAAGUGCUAGGAUUACAGAAGGUGCCUGCUUCCCCUUCACCUUCCACCAUGAUUGUAAGUUUCCUGAGGCCUCCCCAGACAUGUGGAACUAACAGGUUUCUCUUAUUGCCUGGAUCCAAGAGCAUCUCCUGGGUUCUUCCUGUUAGAAUACUGAAUGUCCAUGGAGAGUUUAACAUAAGGAAGAAGAGGCCUGUCUCCCAGCUGAAACUGGUGCAGCAGAUCAUGCAAAGUAAAACCUCAGCAGCUGUGAUGAAGUAGAGCAGAGGGCCUGGGUGUCUGUCAGCUCCAAGCGGAAGAUUUCCCCAGCUUUCUAGGUAACUGUGCUUCCACUGAGCAAGCCAGACACAGACUUGAAUGUCAUCACAAUCUGUGCCUGUGACAUCUUUCCCCAAGAAUAGCACAAAUUGAACUUUUACAUUCUUCAUAAUAUGGAAGGAAAGAUUUCUGACUUCAUAUCUGUGGGAUCCACACAAUGGGGAGGUACUGGCCUUGGAAUCCAUGGUUCCCCAGCUAUCAUUUUACUUUAGAAUUACAGUGUUCUCUGUUAGUGUCAAGGGAAUGAACCUGACGAGAAAAGACCAAACAUAGGACUGUUACAGGGAAGAAAAAUAUGAAAAGACCUAAAGAUGCACGUCCUCAUUAUAUGUAAGGAAUCUAUUUCCUAGAAUCCUAUAAAAAGCUCAAGUGAAUUUGCUUCAGUUAAUAAAUGUGAUUUAAUUAUAAUGAUAAUG